CAGGUGGUCAUGAGGGUGCUCCACAGGGUUACAGAGUAUAAUAUCCUGAAUGCUCAGUACUUCCACACAGCCAUGUUAAAUCAGUGAAUACUCGGAAGUUAUCUCCUGUAGAAUACUCUUGACUCCAGCCAUCUAUAGACUCAACAUUGUAUAGACAUGCUAAAGAGUUUCCUCAUAGACCUCCCAGAAGAGAGCAUCUCUGAUCUGCUUGGUGGGCUUUACAUGUUGUCUCCAUGUAGAGAUUCUCCAGAUCAUUACACAGGUUAGCUCUCCCCCUGCUUGCCCACCAGUCACAGGAUUCAAACAAUGAGCUUCAAAUUAUGCUGAGAAUAAAUGGAGAUAAACAGCAAGCCCAAGGAGACAAAUAAGACGAACACCUUGAAGAAGAACCAGUAAGUGAAAUAGGAUGUGACAGGCUCAGGAAGAUGAGAGGGAAUGAUUUCCUGGAAUGCAGCAGCAAUUUCGUGCCAGUAGCGAUGUGCCGGCUGUACUUGACCUUCAGUAACCUUUAUCCCCAUCUCCUACUGCUGCUCCUACAGCUUCUCAGCCUGGUUCUCUCCUUUGCUGCUGUUCUUGCA